GUAUGUCGUGUUUACGCUUUUGGAAUUGCCUGUUUUAAUGAGUUAUGUUAUCUAUAUCUUAAAAUAUUCCAAUUCUGAUUCAUCUGAUAGGUGAAGAUGCCUGGUGAGCGAGGGAGAGGACGAGGACGGGUGAGGAGAGGAGGUGGUCGAGGGGCAAGAAGAAUUCUCAACUUUUCACCCACCGCCCAGCCCGAGCCCCAAAGGUGUACCAGUGGAAGCUCCUGCACCACGUCUUUAAGGACCACCUUGUGAUGCUGAACCCGGUGCACCUUUCCCUACAAGUGCACCGUCUGUACGGCCACAUUCGCAUAUGUAUACAAACAGUUCGAGAAUGACGUGUACAGCCCUCACUCUGUCGUCGCCAAGAAGAUUAUGGAGUCGUUUGGCCGUAGGAAGGCAGCUGCGGCGGCGGCCGCCACCGGACAGCCCAUCAAAAUCAACAACGAGAUCACAAUUCACAAUCAUCCCUCACACGGGCUCGGGCGGUGCGGCAAAGGGCUCGUCUCAGGCCAGCUCGACGCCGGUGAAGCGGCGGCGACCGGAGUCGGCGCCGGCUCCCGUGGAGCGUGAGUGCGAGCUGUGCGAGCAUCGCGCGCUGCCGUGGUGCAGCCGCGGCCGCUGACGGAGCACUACCUGCGCCAGGCGCCUGCACCAGGGCCGGCCAGAGCUCGAGUUCACGCCGCUGAUGCGCGACUCCAAGUGCGCCACCUUCGUCACAGAGGAGAUCUGCGAGCAGCUGCGCCGGCGCGCCGCCGCCGAGGACUCCGACAGUGGGGUCGAGGUGGAGGUGAGCGACGCGAAGGACGGCGCGGCCGGCGGCGCCCCGUCCGCCUCCGGUGGCAGCGCGCUCAGCAAGCUCAACGAGGAGACUCACGCCUAUUGCCGCGGCGCGGCCCCGCCGGCUGGUGACCGUCCGGAAACCCAAGCCGUUCAUGGGUGACUGAGUGAAACGAAUGGACGUGCAUGUGCGUUUUUGUUCUGUGUAUGCGUGCGUUUGGAAAUGGCGUCUCUAUGUGCGUGCUUGUUUUGUAGAAGCGCUAGCGGUGCCGACGGACCCAGCGAUGGCGCGGAGGGCUUUGAUGUACCGUGUGUCUUUGAUGUUGAUGCAUUCUCGUGUUUUGUUGGUCGCGCGCCCAGCAGCACCGUGUACAUAGCCGGGGGCGUUCCUGCUCGACGCCACGUUCUGUUCGUUGUAUCUCAAUGCCAGCUUUUUGCUCCAAGUCCCGCUCGUGGAACACGCGACUCGCUCGAUUCAAAUAAUAAAUAUACACUUUAUUUCUCUGACAA
rnacentral:lncRNA from 1 species